CGCCUGUUUAUCAAAAACAUGUCCUUUUGAUUUAUUAUUUAAGGUUUGACCUGCCCAAUGAUUAGGUAUUUAAUGGCCGCAGUAUUUUAACUGUGCUAAGGUAGCAUAAUCACUUGUCUUUUAAUUGAGGGCUUGUAUGAAUGGUUUGACGAGUUAUUAACUUUCUUUUAUUUAAUUAAUGAAUUUAAUUUUCUAGUUAAAAAGCUUAGAAUUUUUUUAUGGGACGAGAAGACCCUAUAGAGUUUGAUAUUUAUUUUUAUUAAUUUUUUUAGUUUAAAGGAUAAUUUAUUUUAAUUUAUUUUGUAUUUUGUUGGGGUGAUAGUGGAAUUUCUUUAACUUCUGUUAUUUAUAGUUUUCAUUAAUUUAUGUUUUUAUGAUCCAUUUUUAGUGAUUGGAAGAUUAAAUUACCUUAGGGAUAACAGGCGUGAUUCUCUUGGAGAGUUCAUAUUGAUAAGGGAGUUUGCGACCUCGAUGUUGGAUUAAAAUUAGUUUUGGGUGUAGUAGUUUAUUUACUAGGUCUGUUCGACCUUUAAAAUUUUACAUGAUCUGAGUUCAAACCGGAG
rnacentral:rRNA from 1 species